AAUAAUUACUAACAUAAUUAGUGCUAAGAUAGUUAUAUGUAUGAGAUUAGGUACUAAUUAAUGUGCAUAAAAUGUUCAAUCCUACAAUUUAAUGAUAAGAUGACAUGUACUGUGAAAAAACAUUGUUGUUGAGCUUAGCAAGGGUGAAAAGCUGAAUGGUAACAACUAUGGAAUAUGGAGCAUGAAUAUCUAGUAUGUGCUUGAAGAGUAAGAGGCUCAAGAAGCUCAACCUGAUCUUGGAAAUGCUUGAAGAUGGCAACACAGCCCAACACAGGAGGGAUUGUGAUUCUGAUUGAUGAACAACUCCUCCAGGCAGUGAUACGCUCUUUGCUAAACAGCUGGGAGAAUAUGAAGAUGCAUUUGACUCGCAAUGUCUACGUUAAGACUUUAGAAGAUGCUAUUGCCACCUUGAGCUAGAGGAGGAACGCCUCUGAUUUGACAAGCUAAGUAUAGAUGUCUAAAUGGGUAGUUUAUGUUCUUAAGGAGGCAAAGGGCACAAGCACGAGUUAAGGUGGGAACCAUCAAAGGGGAAAAGGAGGAGCCAAUAAGAAACCAAAAAUUGAGAAGGAAAUGGUCCUUUCAAGAAGAAGAACAAGAAAAUUGUAAAAGUGAAACAUUUUAAUUAGGGCAACAAAGGACAUUUUGCUUAUGAUUGUAUCUAGCCCAAAAAGUUAAACAGCCUUUUAGUAUUUAAAAGUGCAAUUCAUGUUUUUAGUUCUUUUUACUAACUGAAUCUAAUACUUUGUGGAUUGUAGAUUCAAGUGCCACAGACCAUGUGGCGAAGGAUAGAGAUGCUUUCAGAUGCCACUACCACUUUUGUACUUAACUGAGUGCGUACCAAGUUAGUUACUUCCAUACCAUAUGAAUUAUAGACAACAUGUAAACCGGACUUAUGUUUUAUGACACCUUGGGGUUGUGCUGCAUGUGCUCGUGUGAACCUUUUCAUAAAUUUGGAAAAUUAGGUCCAAGAGGGAAGAAGUGGAUCUUUAUGAUAUAAUAAUCAAAAUGAUAUGUGUUCAUUGGUGAGCAAGAAAAUGGAAGUAUAUUGAAUCACGAGAAGUCACAUUUUUUAAAAAAAGAUUUUUCAAGGCAGGGUGAGAUAGGACAAGACUUAUCUCUAUUUGAAACUCAUGAUCAGGAUGCUUCCGUUGUAGAAAUUCAAACAGUUAUACUUCCGAGUGGAAGCAUUAUGAAUAUCAAUGAAUAUGUUCAUUUAGAUUCACCAUUG
rnacentral:misc_RNA from 1 species